AAGUCGUAACAAGGUCAUCGUAGGUGAACCUGCGGUGGGAUCAUUACCAAUCUCUAUCUGCAAAGAUACGCGUGCGGAGACUGUAUUAUACUGUGCCUCCCCCCUAGAGAUAGGGGAGAGGCAGCUGCUUACACAGCAAACACAGCUUGGAUGGACACUAUAAAGAUCUUGGUACUAUAAUGAUACAACUACACACAACUAUACAUGGUGGAUCACUUGGCUCUC
rnacentral:misc_RNA from 1 species